CACGUGGCACACGUACAUCUCUUCCUGCCGUGAGCCAGUACGAUGGGGGGGGGCUCUUGUAAAGCAGGUCUUUGGCUCCCAGGUGGCAGAGCAGUCUGGAAGGUGUGCUGGCUUUGCUGGAUAACUGGUUAUACUCACUCUACAAGGCCACGUGGCACACGUACAUCUCUUCCUGCCGUGAGCCAGUACGAUGGGGGGGGGCUCUUGCUACUUUCUUUUCUUUUUAAUUUUUUUUGUCUGUUUCUAUUUCUCGGUACCAGGGAUCAAACUCACAACCACACCCUUGCAAGGCAGGCACUUAUGCUGCUGAGCUAAAUCCCCAGCCCUGUCCCUAAUUUGUUUUAAUUGCACCUUCCUUUCAUUGGCGCUUUGAAGAGUCUUUUGUUGGCUUGUCUUUGGGUCCUUGCCUGUUUUUAAGCAGCCUUCCAGUGACAUUUGCCUGUAAGUUAUUUUGGCUGGGAUUGGCCUGUAACCUCACAGAAACUGGGACUGGGACGAGAACUCAGUCCAAGAAAGAAAUGCAGAUGAGAAGGUCAGUGCCCUCAGAGGGCUGCAUCCAGGCUAAACCAUUGUCAGACUCUGACUUAAAGCCUGCCACCAGAUAAAGCUACACCACUGAGUUACAUCAACUCAGUUGGCACUGUGAAGCCUGCCACCAGUGGCG
rnacentral:lncRNA from 1 species